ensembl:lncRNA
AAACCCCUCUCUCAGGUUGUGCCAGUGUACAAAAGGCAGACUUUCUGAAGAGUUUAAUGCAAGAAUUUCAGCAGGAAGUUAAAAAUGAGGCUCCAUCUUCUGCUUCCGGCUCUCCAGACUCUUUCUCGUCUGUUCAGACUCUCACUCAGUGCUUUACGUGGCUGGACGCAGACGCCGAUGGGCUUCUGAGCGAGCGGGAAAUGCAUCCAUUGUGUCUCCUGCUCUGCAGAACUCUGCGUCCUCUUCUGCGACCGGAGCGCAGACUGUUGCCUAAGUGCUCAAGAACUCACUUCCUGUCUUGGCAUUUAAGGCCGGACUCCAUAAAUAUUGUGCAGGAUGAAGUAUCUUUGGAAAUGAUUUCAGACUUCAGUCUGACCUUCAUCUGUCCACAGCUCUUUUGA